rnacentral:misc_RNA from 1 species
GAUGAAGAACGCAGCGAAAUGCGAUACUUGGUGUGAAUUGCAGAAUCCCGUGAACCAUCGAGUCUUUGAACGCAAGUUGCGCCCGAAGCCUCGGCUAAGGGCACGUCUGCCUGGGCGUCACGCAUCGCGUCUCCCCCAAACCGCCAAGGCGGAGGGGAAGGAAGAUGGCUUCCCGUGCCUCACCCGGCGCGGUUGGCCUAAAUUUGGAGCCCGCGGCACUUAGCUCUCGCGGCGAUAGGUGGUGAACAAGGCCUUGGCCGUGCAAACAACCCGCUGCGAAGCUCUAUGUCACGUGCGCUCGUCGGACCCUUUGAAGUUGCCUUCGGUGACUUAGAACCUUUGCGACCCCAGGUCAGGCGGGGCUACCCGCUGAAUUUAAGCAUAUCAAUAAGCGGAGGA